UGGGGAAUUGUUCGCAAUGGGCGCAAGCCUGACGACGCAACGCCGCGUGGAGGAUGAAGACCUUCGGGUCGUAAACUCCUUUCGAUCGAGACGAAUGGCCUCCGGGUGAACAAUCCGGAGGAGUGACGGUACCGAGAGAAGAAGCCCCGGCUAACUCCGUGCCAGCAGCCGCGGUAAUACGUAGGCAGCGAGCGUUGUUCGGAGUUACUGGGCGUAAAGGGUGUGUAGGCGGUGCUCUAAGUGUGGUGUGAAAUCUCCCGGCUCAACUGGGAGGGUGCGCUACGAACUGGAGUGCUCGAGUGCGGGAUGGGAGAGUGGAAUUCCUGGUGUAGCGGUGAAAUGCGUAGAUAUCAGGAGGAACACCGGUGGUGUAGACGGCUCUCUGGACCGCAACUGACGCUGAGGCGCGAAAGCCAGGGGAGCAAACGGGAUUAGAUACCCCCGUAGUCCCUGAGCGGGCUGGCAAGGCGCAU
rnacentral:rRNA from 1 species